UAUCACCGAAGUUAAGCAACGUUGAGCCUGGACAGUACCUAGAUGGGGGACCAUUUGGGAACACCAGGUGCUGUAA